UGCGCGGGCGGGCUAAUAAGUCAGUGGUGAAAUCUUUCGGCUUAACCGGGAAACUGCCAUUGAUACUGUUAGUCUUGAGUUCGGUUGAGGUAGGCGGAAUGUGUAAUGUAGCGGUGAAAUGCUUAGAUAUUACACAGAACACCAAUUGCGUAGGCAGCUUACUAGACCGACACUGACGCUGAGGCACGAAAGCGUGGGGAGCGAACAGGAUUAGAUACCCUGGUAGUCC
rnacentral:rRNA from 1 species